rnacentral:rRNA from 1 species
UACGGAAGGGGCAAGCGUUGUUCGGAAUCAUUGGGCGUAAAGGGCGCGUAGGUGGUUCUGUAUGUCUACCGUGAAAGCGUACGGCUCAACCGUAUUUUGUCGGUGGAAACUGCAGGACUUGAGGCUGGGAGGGGCUGGUGGAAUUCCCUGUGUAGCGGCGAAAUGCGUAGAGAUGGGGGAGAACACUCGUGGCGAAGGCGGCCAGCUAGACCAGUUCUGACACUGAGGAACGAAAGCUAGGGGAGCAAACAGG